rnacentral:lncRNA from 1 species
CAAAUAUGUUUUCAUACACAAGAAUGAAGAAUGAGAUCCAACUUAAAAUACCAAAUAAAUUUUUAUUCCGUAUUUUCAAACGGUGAAUGCACGAGCCCCCCUCCACCUGAGCUUCUUCACAGCGGCGUCUUCCUCCACCGCUCACCGUCACUUCGGCCCUGCUCAGCCGGUAAGUCUUGCUCUUAUCUUCUUCAUCUUUACUCUGUUCCUUUCUCGAAUAGAUAACAUUCAAUCAAAUUGGAACUUGAAGUUCUUAUAAAUUGGAUGUUCAUGUAGAUCUGUAGAUGUUUAAUUCACUGUGUUUGUUCCAAUAAAUGAGUUUUGUUACUUCGCAAUGACAGGGAUCUAUCUGUAUUCUGUAUUCAACAUUGAAUUGAAUUGAAUUGAAUUGAAUUCCAUGAAAGUUUCAGCAAUUCAUUGUGCCAGGCACAAGCCCCAUAACUGUGUCACCUCAUUUCAAUUUUCCUCCUCCUCAUCUUCGUUGCCAUGGAUAUCUCCCCUUAACUUUACAAAACCUGCAAAACCUAAACCAGACCCUCCUCCUGAAUUCACUGUCACUCCCGCUGAGCCUCGGAAGAAGCACAAAUAUAUCACUCAUGACUCUGCAAUCAAUUUGAUCAAGCGAGAGAAAGAUCCGCAACAUGCCUUGAAAAUAUUCAACAUGGUAUCAGAACAAAAGGGUUUUAAUCACAACAACGCAACAUAUGCCACGAUUCUCCAAAAGCUCGCUGAGUCUAAGAAGUUUCAAGCCGUGGAUCGAGUUCUGCAUCAGAUGACAUAUGAAACUUGCAAAUUUCAUGAGGGUAUAUUUAUACACCUCAUGAAGCAUUUCUCAAAGUCCUCUCUUCAUGAGAAAGUGCUUCAGUUAUUUUUAUCCAUUCAGCCGAUAGUUCGUGAAAAGCCCUCUCCUGAAGCGGUCAGCACUUGUCUCAAUCUCCUGGUUGAUUCUAACCAGGUUGAUUUGGCACGAAAGUUGCUCUUGCAUGCCAAGAGAAGUCUAACACAAAAGCCAAACGUCUGCAUACUUAAUAUCUUGGUGAAAUACCACUGCAAAAAUGGGGAUCUUGACUCUGCAUUUGAAGUUGUAAAAGAAAUGAGGAACAACAAGUCAUCCUACCCGAAUAUAAUUACAUACUCAACCCUGAUGGAUGGCCUCUGUCAAAAUGGAAGACUCAAAGAAGCUUUUGAACUUUUUGAGGAAAUGGUGUCAAGGGAAGGGAUCAUGCCUGAUCCCCUCACUUACAAUGUUUUGAUCAAUGGAUUUUGCCGGGAAGGUAAACCCGGUCGUGCUAGAAAUGUAAUUGAGUUUAUGAAAAGUAAUGGAUGCCGACCAAAUGUAAUUAAUUACUCAGCGCUGGUGAAUGGCUUAUGUAAAGUGGGGAAAAUUCAAGAUGCAAAAGAGGUUUUUGCGGAGAUGAAGAGCUCUGGUUUGAAACCUGAUACAUUUAGCUACACUACUUUGAUUGAUUUUUUCAGUAGGAAUGGGCAAAUUGAUGAAGCUAUUAGGUUGCUUAAAGAAAUGAAGGAAAAUGAAUGCCGGGCUGAUACUGUUACAUUCAAUGUUAUUCUUGGAGGCCUGUGCAGAGAAGGCAGAGUUGAGGAGGCUCUGGGUAUGCUUGAGACACUUCCGCACCAGGGUUUCUAUUUGAACAAAGCUAGCUACAGGAUUGUCCUCAAUUCCUUGACUAAAAAAUGUGAAUUGAAAAAGGCAAAGAGCUUAUUGGAGCUAAUGCUAGGUAGGGGUUUUUUACCCCAUUAUGCUACCUCAAAUGAAUUAUUAGUUAAUCUUUGUAAGGCAGGAAUGGUUGAUGCUGCUGCUGCGGCACUGUUUGACUUGGUGGAGAUGGGGUUCAAGCCAGGACUUGAUUCUUGGGAAAUUUUAAUUCAAUUAAUCUGCAGAGACAGAAAGUUAUUGCAUGUUUUUGAGUUGCUUGAUGAAUUAGUGAUCACAAAUUCUUGAUAUUUUCAUUAUGAGCAGAAAUAAUGGGUUUCACAAGCAUUUGCUGCUUAAAAUUCUUCACUUGAUGCAAAUGAUGAUACAAGUUAUUCAGAUAAAACUGGUAUGCGGUUGUUGAAACUUCAUGUACCAGCUUCAACAGGCAUUCUUUUCAUCAAUAAGUCCAACAGGAAAUUUCAUGUAUCUGCUUCAUGUCUGGUCGUCAUUCUUUUCAACAAUGAACAUAGUAGCUUUCAUUCAUUGUUUGCUAUUACAAGAUGUCCCAAAAGUUGUGCCUAAAAGAAAGACUCAGGCCCACUGAACGAGGUUUUCCUUUCCCUGCAAAUAUUUUGUUGCAGAUGAUGACUUCAUUGUACUUUAUUCUGUAAUCUACUCGAUGACAAACAAUGAAUAAAAAUGAAUGAAACAACACUACGAAGUGUGUGAAUUGAUACCUUUGUUUUUCUUUUUGGGUUGAAGAGUAUGAUAUGAUACUAAACAUGAAAAUUUUACUACACUCAAAGCAUCCAGCUUACUGGAUCAAAAACCAUACCUAUUGAUGCAACAGCUCAAGGGAUUUCUGCAAUGUUGGCCUAAACCUAUUAACAUCAAGCCUUACAUUUUGUUUAUCCAAAUACACAGACCUAAAUGCUUCCCAUCCUAGUUUCCCAAUUGAUGACGGAUCCUUUAUGACCAUAUGAUCUCGGGGGUAUUGUUGAAUAAGAGUGCUUUCUUCCAACUGUAUUUUGUAUUCCAAGUAUUUGAUGUUCAUAUCCUCUGAGGGCUCUCCAAAGUCAUUGGUGGCAAGCCAUUCCACUCCACCAUAAGGCACAACUUGGAUGAAAAUUGCAUUUUCUGGAAGGAAAAGUAUGUUAGUGAGACCAGCACCAUGAACUCCCAGUAGGACAUCACAAGAAUUCACAACUUGUGCAAAGCUUUUCAUGCUCCCCCCUGCCUCCAUAACAAUGACACUGAAACCCAUGCCUUUAGCCAAUCUCGCUAUUUGAGCUGCAUUGGUGAAGGAUCUUGAUCUUUUUCUUGAAAGAAUCAGGAGCCUGGGCUUCUUACGUUGACUACCUCUGAUUCUGGUUGCUUUAACUCUCUUCAAUGAAUAGGAACUUCUCAAAAAAUCCCUGAAGUCUUUCAUUGAAUAGGAAUACUUUUGAGGGUCAAUGCUUAGCUCUUUAUGAUACCUUUUGAGACCCACAUUCACCCUUGGGAAGCAAUGUACUUCCUCGUCACUGUCAAUGUCCAUAAUCUCAUAGUUGGACAGCUUUUUAAGAAAUGCUUGGUGCUUUAAAAUCCACCAAUGCCUCUUAUCAGUUAUGAUAAAUUGUACUUCUCCUUUGAAUUGUCUAGAAGUCAAAAACAAUGGAAUAACAACGUCAGUGAAUUCAUGGAAGUUGUUGCCAGUAUACCCUGCUGUGGAAAAUAUUACUGCUGGAAUACUGUGAUUUUGGGUGCACUGGGGGAUUCCCUGGCUUACUUCUAUUGGUUUCACUGACCAUUUUCUUACACUACUCAUUGCAGCUGCAUCACUCGUCCGAGCAUAAGGCCUUAUACUCCAUGAGAUGUUUUCUGCCAAAAUGGUUGUUUUAGGUGACACGACGUAGACAGAGGAGGAUUUUCCAUGCACUCGGACAUCUCCCUGGGUUUGGC